rnacentral:rRNA from 1 species
UACGGAGGAUGCGAGCGUUAUCCGGAUUUAUUGGGUUUACAGGGUGCGUAGGCGGACUGUUAAGUCAGCGGUAAAAGCCCGGGGCUCAACCCCGGCGAGCCGUUGAAACUGGCUGUCUUGAGAUGUCGAGAGGUAUGCGGAAUGCGCAGUGUAGCGGUGAAAUGCUUAGAUAUUGCGCAGAACUCCGAUUGCGAAGGCGACCUGCUAGAACAUAACUGACGCUGAUGCGCGAAAGCGUGGGGAACAAACAGG